ACAAUUAGCUGUUGGGACACUAGAUGUCUUAGUAGCGAAGCUAACGCGUGAAAUUGUCCGCCUGGGGAGUACGGUCGCAAGAUUAAAACUCAAAGGAAUUGACGGGGACCCGCACAAGCGGUGGAUGAUGUGGAUUAAUUCGAUGCAACGCGAAGAACCUUACCUGGUCUUGACAUGUACGGAAUCUCUUAGAGAUAGGAGAGUGCCUUCGGGAGCCGUAUCACAGGUGCUGCAUGGCUGUCGUCAGCUCGUGUCGUGAGAUGUUGGGUUAAGUCCCGCAACGAGCGCAACCCUUGUCAUUAGUUGCCAUCAUUAAGUUGGGCACUCUAAUGAGACUGCCGGUGACAAACCGGAGGAAGGUGGGGAUGACGUCAAGUCCUCAUGGCCCUUAUGACCAGGGCUUCACACGUCAUACAAUGGUCGGUACAGAGGGUAGCGAAGCCGCGAGGUGAAGCCAAUCUCAGAAAGCCGAUCGUAGUCCGGAUUGCACUCUGCAACUCGAGUGCAUGAAGUCGGAAUCGCUAGUAAUCGCAGGUCAGCAUACUGCGGUGAAUACGUUCCCGGGUCU
rnacentral:rRNA from 1 species